GCCUUGGGGGUUUAUGCCAAACAGCAAGACAGACGGUCAGGAGCAGCCCAGGGCAGCAGAAAACGGGGACAGGCAGGGGCCACUGUUAUGUCUGGGCUUCAUCCUUGAUCUUGCUCUAAAGAGAGGAUACUCAGACAUUGUUGAAAGAGGAAAUUGGAAGUUAGGUUCAUAAGUGUGUUAUUUUAAAAGUGAAGUUUGUGCCCAUUCAUUCAGUUUUUGUCUUGUCUUGUCUUGUUUGUUUACCCAAGACAGGGUUUCCCUGUUUCCAGGGCUUCCUGGAAUUCACUCUGAAGACCAGAGAGACAGACUGAGGCCCUGGCUGGCCUUGAACUCAGAGAUUUGCCUGAUUCUGCCUCACAAGUGCUAGGAUUAAAGAUGUGGGCCACCACACCCAGCUUGUUUUAUUUUAAAAACAAGGCCUCUCUGUGUAGCGUUGACUAUCCUGCAGCUUGCUAAGUAGAACAGGCUGGCCUUGAACUCACAGAGAUCCAUCUACUUCUGUUUCAAGAGUGCUGGGAUUAAAGACGUGUACCACCAACCAUAUUCAGUAUCAUUCAUUUUUUUUUUUCUAAUAGAGUCUUGAUAUGUGGGCUAGGCUGGCCUUGAAUUUAGCAUCCUCCAAUCUCAGGUUCUUUAGUGCUGGGAUAACAGGUGUGCACUUCCAAACCCUGCUUGUAUCCCAGCACUUAAAACACCAGGGAUAUUUUCUGGCAUAUCUAUGUUCUCUUAAAAACCCAAGCUGAGAUUCUGAGAGUAAUGUCCCUUCCAUCCUCAGUAACUUGGGUCUAAAAAUUCUAAUUCACUGGGCUUCAGCCAGAAUGAGCAAAUUGGAGAUUGGAGAGGUGGAUUUGGCUAACAACAUAAGCUCCUUUUGGCCUGUAUAAAGUUUUCUAAACUUGAAAUGGUUGCCAAUAAUUGAAAGUUCAAAUUUCUAAUUUCUCAGAAAACAAAUCAAAACAAGACACCAGGGCCCACCAGCCCAAAUUCCUAUGUGGCGGGUAUGCUGGAUUCUUGGUGCUAUUUUUCUUCUCAAGACCUUGCCCAGUGCUCUUUGCGCCUGUUUCCUGUGUGGCUCCUGUAGACAUAGCGUUGUGACCCCUGACACACACAGUAUGUUUGCAAUGACCUUGGCAACUUUGUGAUCAGCGUCAGCUCCAAGCUUAGCCUUGAGCAGUGGCAGGCAGCCACAAAGGCAUAUAUAGCCUUGGCCAGGAGUGUGAGACACUGCUCUGCAGAGUUUUGGUUUGUCUUAUUUUGCAAACAUGAUUCAUUCAAUCUCUAGACCCUCUUGGAUGGGGGUGAGGUGGGGGGGGGGCAUCAGGGAGACAUUUCCCAAUCAAGGUCAUAGGUAAAGCAUGUCUGGCAAGAGCAGGAAGCCCAGAAGGAAGUCAGCUUUCCUAUUGGUGGCCGCAACAUAGCUCCUAAUGGGACCAUAUUAACCCUGGCACUGUUGGGAGGAGGGGUGAGAUGCGUGGAGAUUGAGUCAGGUGGAGGCAGAUCCUGCCACUUCCUCCCCAAAGCUGCAGAGCCGCAGGGGUAGGAGGCCGAGAGGUGAGAGGCAACAGAAGUGGAACUGAAGCAGAAAGCUAGAGGAAGACUGAGAGGCCUGGCCUCGGGGGCCUCGGGUGAUGCGCAUGCAAUGCCCAUGAGAUGAUGUGAGUCCCCAGGAACGAUGCUGGUCAUCAGCAAGUGGGGCCCGGGAUCCUCAGAUAACUGAACUGUCUGUACAUACUCCAAGCUUGCAAGUGUGCGUGCGUGAUACACUGAGACAGACACACUUGCACACAGAGUCAUCAGCAGAGAAACACGAGCUAUUACACUUGUAAACGCAUACUCAGUCCGUACAGAGGCGCACAUCCAUAGGUGUUUCUCCACACACACCAUCACAGUGGUUUUCGGUGAGAGCCAUCAGCUCAUCAUACAGAGAUGUUUCACGAACAUUCUCAGAGCACCUGAAGUCCUUUCUGGCUGCCAGAGCCCAGCACAGUAAUCAGUAGCAUAGAAGGAGAGAAAAAUAAGCCAGGCACUACAGGCACAGCUGUGUGCCAGCCUGCAGUGCCACCUACUGGCAGGAGAGGUUUCUGCACCUUGCCUUAAGGGUAGAACCCAGGACUGUGUCUCAGGAACCCUUUUCGGUGAAGUUGCCAGGCAUGGUGCCAAUGGUCCUCCUCAUCAUCAUCUUCUUCAUCCUCCUCCUCCUCCUUCUCAUCCUCAUAUUCCGCUGGAGACAGGUGAGAAGCUGGCCUCCUUGGAGCCGUACCAUAGCAUCAGUGAAGGACCAUCAAAGACCAUGCACACCUGCUGGAAAGCGAUGGUCCUCUAGAGCAGUUAAUAAAUCAGGUUCCAACUUUCAUGCACCUCCAGCUGGGACAGGCUCCUGAAAUGCUGCCUGCAGAAUCCGAGGCCACGCCUGGGCUUUGUAAGGGGGACUAUCAUGAUGGGAUAGCGACUUCAACCGUGACAGUAGGUAGGACGGCUUACCAUGUUUGUAGCGGAUUCUGGAACAUUCCAUUGUGAGGGUGUCCCAGUGCUGACAUCUGCUAGCUGGGUAACAUUGAGCAAAUUAUGGUAGUUCCAUGAAUCUGUAUGGUCCCGAUACCUCAAGGGAGUAGACAGGGGCCACUGUACUGGUCUAUCCUCGGGCAGGCUGGAUUACCAUAAAAUGCAUUUCCAGUGGAGGGGAGUGGGCAGCUGACAUUAUCAAGGGAUACCCAGGGGCUUGGGGCAGAGCUAUUUACUACAUUUGACAUUCUGAUCAUUGCUUUGACUGCAUGGAUACACACCAAUUGAAUGGAGGUGCAAACAUCAAGUCGAUUUUGGAUUUGAACGUCUUGCUAGCUUCUAUUUUCUUUCGAACAUAUUCUGCUCCAUUCCCACGAAUGCAGUUGGGCCAUCAUGAAGGGGAAAGUUUGCUUCCUUCUUUUUGUGAUGGGGUCUCAUGUAAUCCAGACUGGCUGUGGACUGGCUGCGCAGCUGACCUUGACCUUCUGAUUCCCCCUGCCUUCAUCUCUCUAGGGCUGGAAGCAUAGGUGGGCCCCAUCAUAUCCAGUGUAUGCAUUGCUGUGAGUUGAAUCCAGUGUUUUGUGUUCAGUAGGCAAGCAUUCUACCAACUGAGCCAGAUGUCCAACUACAUCUGCCUCCCCUGCAGGGAGUUCUAUGGCGAUCUUAGCAGUCUCCAUGCUUAAUAACAAGCAGAGCCACUGUUCUGCUGAGGGACCGUUCUACUGGGCCUGCAAUUCUGUUGGCAAGCGCUUUCUAGGAGGAGUGUCCUGCCAGACCUAGGGAUGUGGUACUUCCAGCUAAAGGGGUCCAGUGUUCUGGGAGCAGUGGCUCCUCUACCCCAGUGCUGCAGUCUGAGGCUUCGCCUGGGGCUUUUGUUGUUCAGUUGGUUUUUUAAA
rnacentral:lncRNA from 1 species